rnacentral:rRNA from 1 species
UUAAUGACUGAACUGGAACUAGUUGGAAAGCUAGAUCGUAGAAGGUGAUAAUCCUGUACAGGUAAACUCAUUAACUUGUCCGUUCUCUCCCAAGUAACAUGGAACACGAGGAAUUCUGUGUGAAUCUGCGAGGACCAUAUCUCGUAAGGCUAAAUACUCUUACUAACCGAUAGCGUAUAGUACCGUGAGGGAAAGGUGAAAAGAACCCCGGGAGGGGAGUGAAAUAGAACCUGAAACUAUGUGCUUACAAGCGGUCAGAGCCCGCAAGGGUGAUGGCGUGCCUUUUGGAGAAUGAUCCUGCGAGGUCGACGCGGCCGCGAAUUCAUGAUAACUCGUCGGAUCGCACGGCCUUUGUGCUGGCGACGGUCGACGCGGCCGCGUCGACACUGACACUCAGGGACGAAAGCUAGGGGAGCGAAUGGGAUUAGACUACCCCGAGUAGUCCUAGCCGUAAACGAUGGAUACUAGGUGUUGUCUGUACUCGACCCGGACAGUGCCGUAGCUAACGCGUUAACGUNUCCCGGCGUGGGGACUACGGCACGCAAGUGUGUAAAACCG